GUGGGAUUGAAGUCACGCCCCCUCCCCUCCGAAGGGGCGGGGAGGGGAGAGACCCCAAGGUCCAGAGGAGGAGGAGGAGGAAGACUUGGGAGGGGCUGGACGCGAGUUCCUGUAGAAAGCGAGAAAUCACAGAGAAGGACACCAUGACUGAUAGCAUCAAAGGCAGCUGAGUGACCAAGGAUUUUCAAGAAGACUGCACUCCCUCUAUCCUGGUUCAGCCACAAGACAUCAACAUGAGGGACCGCUGCUGCACAAAAGAUGACACUUGAACUUGAGCAAGACCGUAGUGUUCUACUGAAGCAGAUGCUGAUACUACACAUACUGAAUUGCAGUAUGUCUUAUUUAUUCUCAACGACUAAAAGUUCUGAGUUAGUGCUCAGAUGAUGCUAACGCUAUCCAUACUAUCCCAGACACAAUCUUCGAUCAUGGAAGAUGCAUCAGCAUUUUAUGGUCAUCUCUAAUAUAAUUUAUAAUAUUCAGCUCCUAGCUCUUUCCCACAGAGACUAGCAGUGUUACUUUAGUGCAGAUUUUGGACUUGAUUCUCUACUACAUGACCUCUUUCAACUCUGUGAUUGGUUAGUUAUUAGUAUUAGUAAAUUUUGUAAUAAUAAGAGUGGUAACGCAGGCAGACAAGAUGAUUCUUUCACAAAGAAGCACUCAUAACUCCCAGAAAAAUUAGAAGUACCACAGCAAGGAGAAAAGUAGCCCUCUGCUGAUUCUAUCUACAGUAGCAAUAACACAUUUCUAAUUUCAGUGGAACAGCAACUAUUUCUGUACAGUGGAGAGAAUAGCUUUAAGACCAAACACCAAUUACUAAAAGGCCCUGAUUCUGUUGUAACAGCUAUUACUCAAUGCUUAGCUCUUUGAAAUAUUUUCCUUGGUUUUCCCUACCCUAAUUCACAUUGAGGUUAGUUUUAGAAUCCCCACAGAGAAUUAAAAUAAAUAGAGAUGUAAAAGCUGCAAUUUAAAAUGUUAAGUUGAUUAGAAAAACCUGUUAGUACUUUCAAGUGCCUUAAGCCUUUUUAUAAAAUGAGAUUCUCCACUGCUAUCAAUAUUCCAUUAUAGUGCUUGGGGCUGAAGACAUUAAUCAGUUGUAUUAACAGCUAAGCUACAAGUAAGAUAUUCUGUUCUGUUAAUUAAAAUAUUAAAAUCUCUUGUCUCCAAACAUCUUUCCUUCAUGUUUCUUCUUUUUACUUUUAACCUGCCAACAAUUAUUUCUGGUAGUUUUAUGGCACACAAACCUUCAAUGUACACUAUGCCACAUUUAGAAUUUUGAAAAACAGAAAAGGAUUUAUCUAAUUCUCCUGCUCCUGAGCAGACAGGUCCAAAUAGAGCACAAUGUUUGAUCUGUGGCCCCAGAACUGUUAGACACUCCUCAGAAAUCAUGUCUCCCUGUUGGCGUAAUUCAGGGGUCUUCAAACU